UUCGGGAAACCGGAGCUAAUACCGGAUAAUAUAUUGAACCGCAUGGUUCAAUAGUGAAAGACGGUUUUGCUGUCACUUAUAGAUGGAUCCGCGCCGCAUUAGCUAGUUGGUAAGGUAACAGCUUACCAAGGCAACGAUGCGUAGCCGACCUGAGAGGGUGAUCGGCCACACUGGAACUGAGACACGGUCCAG
rnacentral:rRNA from 1 species